rnacentral:tRNA from 1 species
GAAGCUCUGAAACAGCGGUUUUCUUCCCUGUCACGGCAGAGGUCGCGGGUUCGAGUCCCGUCCACUCCGCCA